UACGGGAGGCAGCAGUGAGGAAUAUUGGUCAAUGGGCGUAAGCCUGAACCAGCCAAGUCGCGUGAGGGAUGAAGGUUCUAUGGAUCGUAAACCUCUUUUAUAAGGGAAUAAAGUGCGGGACGUGUCCUGUUUUGUAUGUACCUUAUGAAUAAGGAUCGGCUAACUCCGUGCCAGCAGCCGCGGUAAUACGGAGGAUCCGAGCGUUAUCCGGAUUUAUUGGGUUUAAAGGGUGCGUAGGCGGCC
rnacentral:rRNA from 1 species